rnacentral:rRNA from 1 species
UACGUAUGGUGCAAGCGUUAUCCGGAUUUACUGGGUGUAAAGGGAGCGCAGGCGGCACGGCAAGCCUGAUGUGAAAGCCCGCGGCCCAACCGCGGGACUGCAUUGGGAACUACCGGGCUGGAGUGCCGGAGAGGUAGGCGGAAUUCCUAGUGUAGCGGUGAAAUGCGUAGAUAUUAGGAGGAACACCAGUGGCGAAGGCGGCCUACUGGACGGUGACUGACGCUGAGGCUCGAAGGCGUGGGGAGCAAACAGG